rnacentral:rRNA from 1 species
UACAGAGGUGGCAAGCGUUGUUCGGAAUUACUGGGCGUAAAGGGCGCGUAGGCGGCCUUCUAAGUCAGACGUGAAAUCCCCCGGCUUAACCUGGGAACUGCGUCUGAUACUGGGAGGCUUGAGUAUGGGAGAGGGAUGUAGAAUUCCAGGUGUAGCGGUGAAAUGCGUAGAUAUCUGGAGGAAUACCGGUGGCGAAGGCGGCAUCCCGGACCAUUACUGACGCUGAGGCGCGAAAGCUAGGGGAGCAAACGGG